rnacentral:SRP_RNA from 1 species
UAUAUAUGUCACUACAACACAACCUUACUAACCAGGUCAGGGUAGGAAUACAGCAGCCUUACGUAAGCUCUUGUGUGUGUAGUGGCUUUUUUUAUAGG